ensembl:snRNA U6 U6 spliceosomal RNA
GUGGCAGGCACAUAUACUAAAAUUGGAAUGAUACAGAGAUGAUUAGCCUGGCCUCUGCACAAGGGUAACACCCAAAUUCUUAGAGCAUUCCAUGUUUUA